AUGGAAUUUGAUGCUCCUCUAUCACAUGCAGUCGGAGACCAGGAUGAUGACAAGGGUAGACGAAAGAUCGUCUGGGAGAGCAAGUAGGCUUCUCUCUACUUGCUGGCGAACAGAGCAAAUUCGUGAGACAGUCUCCAAGUUCCUAAUGGUUUUCCUGAUAAAGGGGAAGCGCGUGCUGAAGCGGAGACGGAAAUGUGCUCUUUCGAACCACAAACAUCUGGCUUGGAUGGACACACACGUGGACAGAGUUGUUUGACUCAAUCUUGUGUUUAAGUUGGACUCGAAUGACACUCAGCACCACGUGGGAGCCACCCUCCUAUCGCAGAGACAACAUUCUCUGGCAGAACAAACAGCACAGACAUGAAUUUUAAUCGAGGAAAUAUGCCGGGCUUCAGAUCAAUAAA